rnacentral:lncRNA from 1 species
GUACUUCAUUACAUCUUUGGAGCUAUUUGAUGUUCCACACUGGGGAAGGAAGUCUCUUUCUGUCUCUCUCUCUAUGCCUCCCUCUCUCUUGUUCUGUUUCUCUCACCCUGUUUUCUGUUUCUCUCUGCCUCUUUUCUCACUCUGUCUCUCUCUUUCUGCUUCUCUGUCUUCAUCUCCCUACCUCUGCUUCUCUUAAAAUUAAUUACUUUCUUAUUACGAAAGCAACAGAAAUUAUUGUAGAAAAUUUCCCACAUAUAAAUAAGAAAAUUGAAGAGAUCUCAAUCCACCCUCCUCAAGAUAACCACUUGGUCAUGAUUAGCACCUUACAAUACCUCCUUUUAGACAUUUUGUGUUUGUCUCCAAUGCACAUUAAUGACUCUGGAAGUAGCUUGCCUGGAUAUGAGUCUCAGCGCCUCCAGCCCAUGACCCAGAACUUGAGUAACUUAUUUCCUCUUGGCAACUUGGUAUUCUCUGCCUUAAAAUAAGGACAAUAAUGGUCCCUUCUACACCAGUGAGGUUGUCAUGAUGUCUAUAUGAGCGGAUACUGGUAAAGCAAUUAGCCCACAGGCAGGUACUUGGUAAUAGCUUAAUAAUCAUUAGCUAGUCCGCACACAUGAAGAGAGAUGCUACUGCUGCUGUACCUAGUAUUUCCUAACUUGCUUUUCCCUUUAACAAUAUAUUGAAAUAAACUACGUUUCCAUUGUCCAUAAAUCCUUAUCUAUAGUGUCAUUUUUGGUGGCUGGAAGCAGCAGCCUGUUCUUCCCACUCCCUAAACCCCAUGCCUGUAUGGGUAUUUAGCAGGACAAACCAGAAGAGCAAUAAUUCCACGAAAUCAAGACCCAUGUCUUUUUUUUUUUUUUUUUUUUUUUUUGAGACAGGGACUUACUCUGUCCUCCAGGCUGGAGUGCAGUGGUGUGAUCACAGGUCACUACAGCCUUGAACUCUCGGGCUCAAGCAAACCUCCUCCCUCAGACUCCCAAGUAGCUGGGACCACAGGUGUAUGCAACUACAGCUGGCUAAUUUUUUUUCAGAUCCAAUGUCUAUCUCAUUCAUUCCUGGUCUCUGUUCAUAGCAGAGUCAGAAGCAGCUCAUACUCUCAAUAAAUGUAGUUUAGAUGGAUGGGUGGGUCGGUGGAUGGAUGGAUGGAUGGAUGGAUGGAUGGAUGGAUGGAUGGAUGGAUUAGAGGACACAAGGGUCAAGCCCCAAGUGUCCUCUGAUGGGAAGGCUGGAUCUCAGAUUUGGGUCCCAGUCAUUAGGAUACAAGCCAGGGCAGGGACCAUGAGGCAUUGGAGAAUGAGCAAC